GUGCGAAACAUUUCGGCACAGAGGGAAAAAAAGUCUGCGAGUGACAGUACAAUUACAUUAUGGAAGUAACUUGCCAACACUGUCAGCACCGACUUCGCCUCAGGCAACAUCGCAACAAGAACGGGGAAGUGAUGUCGGCUUUCGGUGAUGUCUGAGUUCCAUCCACUGCUGUUUUCGCCCCCUUUUGUAAAUAUGUUUUGUAUUUAUGGUUACCUUGUUUAUGUCCUAUUCUGAGGUCCUCUCAAUAUCCGUACAGGUGGGCUGGUCAUUGGCCUACAGGUGGUG
ensembl:lncRNA